CAGUCUGAGUCUCAACAGCCCAUAAUGCGUCCAGGGUGCGUAGCUGGCAGCAAAUGACACUUCCGCGUCCGCUUGUGUAUGCUACCACCUCGGCAACGGCCAGAGAGGAAUCAGCUGCGGCGAAGAAGAGACAUGCUGGACCAACUGUAAACCUUACGGAUGUUCUCUCUGGAGGGAACCGUGCAAGAACCUCAAGCCACCAUCCACUGCGAUACCAGCCUGUGAACACUGGAUACUGAGGAGCGGCUGUGAACUGCCGCUGCCUGCUGCGGUAAACCCGGGGAGAACUGUGGCUGCGCCCUGGCUGCGAUUCGUGGCCUCAUGUGGCCCACUGUCAGGGAAGCCACCACGGACCUCGUGUGCCUCGUCGCCGCCGAAAGGGGCUAAACGACUUGAAAUGUAACGGGGAAGCGUUGUCAACGUUUCAGCUGAGGCAUCCCAUCUUCUCGCAGUUGUUGCACGCUUUUCGGUGCAUCUCAGCAGUCAUAAUCACGAAGUGUCUACUUAUCUACGAAUAUAGCAAACAAAACUGGUGAGGAGUGGUAGCUGCAGAGCAGAUGCAACGCUACGCUCUCCGCGGACUCUGGCUUCCUGGAGCUGAUGAACGUCCUGGACCAUCCCACCUGUCCACUGGAAGACCUGCCGCCAGAAACCAUGGAGCCGCCUAAGCAGAGCCGAGUGCAGCUGCGAAACGACGUGCCGCCGAGGUCUCCCAACAUCCCUGUGGCCAGUGACCUGGCGUGCACACCUCUGCCUCUUUUCCUGGAUCGCUGUCAGCUCGUUCAGCAUUUUUCAGGACGUCCGAUUUACUACGACACACAGUGUGCAUGAUGCUCGCUGCUAUUUAGACAAUCUUGCCAAGCAGUCGUGUCCGGAAUUGAAGGCUGCAGAUGUCAUCUGUUCUGUUUCCAGAGCUAUCCUGUUUCUGAAGUGUCGCAAUUUGUUCUCUUGUAAAGUCUCCUGGAGGGUCACCUUUUCCAGAAAAAGAAGUAACUUACCGUCCGAAUCUGAUUCGAAAGAGGACAAGCCAACAGAGAAAACACUGAGCUACAGCGCCAUGUUAGGCAGUGCCAUUUCGAAAUCCAAGCAUUUUAAAAUGCACAGAUUAAAACUUUUCGAAAUCUCAUUUAAAGCGUUUUGACUGCCGGAGUAUUCGCGUACUUUUCCUCAGUUAUGUAAUUUGUCUGGAAAGAUACUCUUGUGCUUCCAAAUCAUGCAUAUAACCCAGAUUCUAUGUUCUGAGGUCAUGCGACAUAUGGCAGGAGUUCCUGACUUACCUACAACGGAUCUGAUUGAGAGUGCCUUCACACGUCUCAGCUCUAUCUGGCUAAACAAAUUCUACUACCAAAUGUACGCCUGCUUUCGUCAUCUCACGCUUCCUAACCUGCCGAAGCAAGCAAAGUAUUCCGUGGUCAGAUCCUGUAUCCACUAAUACUCUGGAUAUAUGACGCACAACAAGUAUUGAUUCUGAAAAUACGAGCAAAUAUUGUCUUCCCCAGUCAGAUGAAAUUCCUCGUGGGAAUUUCACUGUCUACAGCUAUGAAUUUCGUUUUACUUCGACUGGUGGGAUGCGUAUACCUAUUUACCCCGAAGUCCACGUGGGUCGAAAUUUCUAGUAGCAGUAAAUUUGGCCCAAAUAAAUAACUUCUUUACCUUCCAUUUAAGGCCGUCGUCUUAAGUUGGAUAGGUACUAUAAUUAAGAUUUAGUUGCACAAGGCGUAGCCCAGUUUUUGUGUUACGUUCAUGUAACUACAGUGAUACAGGAGCCAGAGCCGCUCGUUUUUUUUUUUUUUUUUUUUUUUUCAUUUGACACGAAACGGCGCUCCCUAUAACAAGGAACACGGUACUGUCGUGGUGGAACCCAGACAUCAUCCUUCCAGGGCUAGAGCUCUGUAAAGUAGCUGGUGUACAAUUUCUGGCUGUGAAAUCCCUUUGUAAUCUCUGUGAAUAUAUUUUCAAAGGACUGCUUUAAUUACAGACUAUAAUAAAGCCUGUCCUCGGUUGUAAAGAUAGAAGCUAGCUGAUGAGACAAAAUUAACUGCAACCAAACCGUAAAACCAGUGCCUCAGUUUUCUAAUUUACUCUUCAUUCUCAAUUUUCUGUUUAUUUGUACGUGGUAGCGUCUACGUAUUUUAAUGCACCGAUGUUAAGUAAUUACUUACUCUCAUGGCCCCGGAAUCCACAGUCGAUUUUUGACCGCGUCAAGUAACCUUCUUCACAGCGUCCAUCCUCCGCAUCUUCUUCUCUUGCUCUACGUGGCUGGAGAUCCUUUGGCCACAGGGUAUCUACAUCUUGUCUGCGUUCUGCCUAAAGAUUUUCGUCCUGGUUUCUUCUCUGCUGCUUCUAUCAAUUUUGAUUCCAUCCCUCCCACCCCUCUGCCCCCCCCCCCCCCCCCCCACAUGUCUACUAUAGAGAUGGCCAACCGGUAUCAGUCUCCUCACCUAGGCAUCCGCAACACUAUGUGGUUCAUUUUAUAUCUCCAUGAAUUACCUGUUAUGUCCUCUUUGUCAUGCUCCUGCCUAAAAAAUUCGUCGGGACAUUUUAUUUUCAAAAACCUUUGUCAUUCUCUCUGUUAUAAUUACCUAUUCAACAUAUUUCUGUGUUAUAUAGUAACAGUGGUCUAACUAUUGUUUUAUAUAUCCUCAUUUUGCUUUCCCUUAAAAAGUUUUGGCUGAUAAUAAUUUGUUGAGUAUAUUUGACCCUCUGGAUGUUGCUUCGAUCCUCACUUCUGUUUCUUGUUGUCGUAAUUUCUCUUGUUAACUACCACCCACAGAUGUUUAGACUCAUCUACUUCUUCGAGGAUGUUGUCAUCGAUCUGCAUGGUUCCUCACCUUACUGCCUUGUAAUUUCUUUCUCUCCUUACGAAUUUUUGUUCUCUCGUCGUUCACCUCCUAUCCAAUUUCUCUUGAUUGUUUGUAAAUGACAUUCUUUCCAAUAUUUUCAGGUCAUCUAGAUUUUCGCUGAUUAACGCUACAUCAUUUGCAAAGGCAAGUAAUUCAUUUUUAUUCCUAUGCAAAUUCCCUCUCCUUCUUUGCUUACUGCAUGCAGUGCUUCCUGUAUUAUUACUAUGCUAAAGAAGAGAGGUGAUGUUCCUUCUCUGUGCCUGACUUAUGUUUUAACGUCAAAAGCUGUGGAACACUCUCCUUCCAUUUUCUCUAUCUCUUUCGAGUCCUUUGGGAAGAAUACUCACAAAGAUUGCAACGAGGAUCCUGCAACCAGAUUUCUCUCAGCUGCUCGACAGAGCAGACCUGGAUGGAUGGAUGGUGUCUGGGUCCCACCAAGCCAGUGUCCCUACUCCUGGGAGUAGGGAGUGCCGUUUCGUUAGAAAUGGAAAAUACGGACAACACUUCACCCCGGUGCCAUCGUAGCUGUAUGUACAUAGUACAAAAACUGCGCUAUCCCUUGUGCAACCCAAUUCUAAUUAUAAUACCUAUCCCACUUAAGAUACUGGCUUAACUGGUAGGUGAUCAAGUUGUUUGUUUGAGUCAAAUUCAUUGCUACUAGAAAUUUCGAGUUGCGUGGAGUUCUGAGUACGUAGGUAUACGUAUCCCAGCAGUCCAAGUAAAACCAAAUUGAAAGCUAUAGACAGCGAAAUCCCCGCAAGGAAUAUUAUCCAACUGUGGAAAAGAUAACCGUGGUUUAGUAACGAAAUUCGGAAAAUGCUGAGGAAGCUUAGAUUGAUGCACUCACGGUUCAAAAAAAGAGCGCGGGAAUGUUGACGGGCAAAGUUGAGCAGGAAUUCAAGUCACCAGGUCCGGAAGGAUUGCUAAUUCGAUUUUACAGAGUACUCUUAGACAUAGAUCCUUUACUUAACCUUCAUUUAUAGCGAGUGUCUCGUUAAGCGCGAAGGCCCAAGUGACCGAAAAAACAAAAAAAGGCAGGUGACUCCUAUAUAUCAAAAGCAUAAAAGAAUGGACCCGUAAAAUUACAAAGCAAUAUCCUUAACAUAGGUUCCCUGUAAGAUUCAUGAACAUAUUCUAAGUUCGAAUAUAAUAAAUUCUAUGGAGUCAGAGACGCUACUGCCCACGAGUCACCACGGAUUUGGAAAGCAUCGACCGUGCGAAGCUCGGUUUGCCCUUUUCUCUCACGAUAUCUUGCGAACAAUAGACAAAGGGCAACAGACAGAUUCUAUAUAUUCCUAGAUUUCCGGAAAGCGUUUCAUUAGUGCCCCACUCCAGAUCGUUAACAAAGGUCCGAACAUGCGGCAGUGGUUUCCAAAGUGACUCGAAGACGUCUUAAGUAACAGAACCCAAAAAGUUGUUCUUGACUGCGAGAGUUCAUCAGACGGGAAGUUAUCGCCAGGAGUGUCCCGGGGAAGUGUGACAGAAAUGCUCUUUUCCUCUGUAUACAUAAAAGAGUAGACAGAUAGGGUCUACGAGUGUUCGCUGAAAACGCUGCAUCGUGUGCGAAAGUAUUGAUGGUAGGUGAUUGUAUGAGGAUGCAGGAUAACUUCGACGGUACAUCUAUUUUGUCUGAUGAAUGGCAGCUUACUAUAAAUGUAGAAAAAUGUGAGUUAGUGCAGACGAGUAGUGGCGUGAUACUUGGCACAGUCAUGUAGAGCUAAUAUCCAGGCUUCACCUCGCCGAGAAAUGUAAAGCGGAGUUAGCAUGCAGAGUCGGUAGUAGGGAAGGCGAAUGAUCAACUUUGGAUUAUUGGGAGGAUUCUAGGAAAAUUAAGCUCGUUUGUAAUGGACACCACACAUGAAUCACUAGUACGAACUUUUCUCGAGUACUGGUAGAAUAUUUCUAUUCCUUACAAGCUCGGAUAAAACUAAGAUGUCGAAACAAUUCAGGCAUACUGUUUUGUUUUUUACCUAUAGAUUCGAUCAGCAUGCUACUAUAACGGAGAUGCUUCGUGCAGUCAAAAGUAAAUCCUUGGAGAGAAGACGGCACGUUCUUUCCGCGAGAAACCAUUCUGAAACUUUAGGCAGUUGUCACAUGCAGCUGACUACAGGGCAAUUAUACUGCCACCAACAUACAUUCUGCAUAAGGAUACGAGUACGAAAUGAGAGAAAUUAGAGAUCGCACGGAGGCGCAUAGACACUCGAUUUUCCCUCGCUGUGUUUGUGAGGAAACAAAGUACUCUCCUCCAUGCUCCAUCUGGUGGCUUACACGGUACAUAUGUAGGCAUAAAUUUUAAAAGUCAGGAAGACAGAUGUCAGAGGUACAUUAAAUGAAUACUACGUAAGUCUAUUUCACGUACAGCGGUUCUCGACUUCGUAUAACUGAGGGAAUAAGUAGAUUUUAUUGAUGACCCUGCUCGAAAUCCGACAGAAAGCUUCGUUUCCAGUAUUUUAUGGUAUUCUUUCAGUGUUGCGUUGUACGAUUUCUGGAGCCAUUGCCACACCGCUGUACUGAACAAAGUACACUGCAGUGAUGUGUGCGUCGGCGCACGAACGUCCACAGAUAGGGCAAAUAUUGACACAUAUAAUUAGACCAUUUGCCAUGGUCUAUCAAGUAAAGUAACCCUUCUUGAUUGAGAGACACAUGCUGUUUUUUGAGGCAGGGUCAAUGAAGGCCGCUUUUUGGAAGUAAAUAAAGGCGAGAGGAAGCGUUUGACACCAUCCAUCAAUCAACUGAACAAUCUUGUGUGAUUUGUAGUCUUCGUUUGUAUUCUAAACUACUACUUUUUUCAUAUCUGUUCUCUUUAUAUGCCGUCGUAGGCUUUCCUCGAAUCAACACACGGUACUUCCAUUGCUUUGUUGUAUUCCGCAUAUUUUGGUAUGGCUUCUUUUAGUAGAAGCUCUAAUCUGUGGUAGAUGAAAAUAAGGGAGACUUAUUUUCAUCUAUUACCUCCCUUAAAUAUGGUUCCAGUUUUUUCUGGAGAAUCUUUUAGCACACUCUUUAGGCUGUGCUAAUUAAGGGAAUGUCUCUAUAAUUCUGCGUUCUUGUUUAUCGCUAUUUUUAUCGACUUGCAUUAUGAUCGUCUCUUUCUUAGUUCCAGUCGUUGGUCACUUGUGUAUUUGUUCCGAAAAUACGUGUACUUCUUUUUUUUAAAUUCAACUAUUAUUCCAUUUCUCCCUAGAGCUUUGCUGUUCUUCAUUAUUUGAUUGUGUUUACUGUGUCUUUCCUUGUUCACGGUGCAAGUAAGGAAUCUACGUAUGAUACUGGUAUGGGUCCUCCAUUUCUGUACUUCAAAUCUUCCACAUUCAAAAGUUCCUUACAAUUUUCCUUCCUAAUUUCCAAACCUUUUGUUCUUUCGUAAACUGAUUUGCCAUUACUUUAAGAUUAAGUAAUUACUUACUAAAAUUGAAUACGCAUGAAAAUAAGAGGGAAAUUCUUGCUACAAUUCUCCUAAUUGGUUAUAUGAUAGGACAUUAACAUGAAAUCCAAAAUUUAAAUAAGAACGUUUUAUGGUAACUAGCAUAUUGAAAUACAAAAAUAAUGUAAGAACUUCCUGUUCACGGUAAAUUAUUUUCACCAAGUUCCUAAAUAGUGAAGGCAGAAGAAUGUAAUCUUACAAUGCAGUUAUAGGAAUCCUUCACCUUCCGCCCGAUUCAUAAAAAGCUUUUAACGCAUGACUACAUUUAUCUUAUGUUUAAAACUUGCAACUGGUUCCUAUUUCUAACUAAGCUCUGUUUUUGUGCGUGCAUAUGCAGGUUCAACAAAUGAUUUUGCACUGAAAUUCAAUCCUAACGUAAAUAACAAUCGUAUGAAGAUUAUUGCAAGUUAGCUCGAUGGGACACCAGGUUACAUGAAUGUUUAACGGAACUGGGAAACGCCAUUUUCAAAAUGCAACUGUACAGCAGAACUUUCCCAUUAGAAUAUGUAAUCGCCUAGGUAAAUGAUGCCACGAAAAAAUCCUUGAAAACUAUUUUCAUACGAAGUUCUGAAAGAUGGCUCGAAGUAACUCAAUUGAAUAAAUGAGAAAAGUGGAUGAGUAUGAACUUGUCACAUGAAGGAAGAACAAAUACCUCUCAUAGAAAAUGCCCCCAGCGACGACUUCCAACUGCGUGAGAAACUAACUUUAUCAGCUGAAAAAUAAUUAUCUGAAAACAAAUUGCUUUUCCUAAUCGAUCCCCUGAGCGCAAUGGUUCGCUCUGUUGUGCCGACUUGCACACAAUUUUCAGGAUACCGAGGGUGAGCCUCGUUUUAAACACACAGAAAAUGGACGCCAUCUUUGCUCAUGGUAGGCACGUUACGUGAAUUUCUAGUUGGUGGUUACUAUAACGAAAAAAUUCCAGCCAAGGCUAAUUUUAGUCGUGCAACCAUCGUACAUUUAUUUUCUGAAAAUGAGUUACAAACGGCCUCCAAGAAAUGAAGCUAACCAUCGAACUGUGAUAACGGCUGGACUUCUGCACAACGUAACAACACGGAAAAUGAGAGUCUAAAUCCUUUUAAUCUACCCAUGAAACAAGCAAGUGGGCUGUGUUUUUAAGCCGUCUCACUUUUAUUACAUCAAAGCCCCCCACAAUUUCAGACUGACCACGGAAUCCUUGCAUAUACAGAACUGAGGUAUUAUGCGUAUUGAGGCGAGCAGAUAACUCACUACAAAAAACUCGCUGUAGUUUUGUUUAAACAGCGUAAAGAAAAACUAAAAUCUCAUUCGAACCGGAAACGGUCGUAAGAAUCACCAACCGCCCUCAGCGUACCAUAAUUUAGCCUGAAGACCGCAACUAGAGCAAGCGAAACGAACAAACUUCCAGACCUGACUGUUUAAAAUAUUUUUUUCAUUUCAGACCCGUAAACAACGCAGAACAGAAAGCAGAGAACACAGUGUCAUGCAUCCGGUUCAAGGGGUGGUAUAUUCUACCUCAGUAACGGCCGUGCGUUGCUGAUUGGCUGAUUCGAAAAUCUGCCGAAAUUAAGCCUGCAGAGAUACUACGACUUACUUAAGCUAGAGAUAACUGAACGUUCGCGGAGGAAUCGAUACUAGCCCUGUGGUCAACAUCUCGUAUCGACAAGUGACUGAACUUAGAACGUACAUUACACAUAUAAUGAGAGGUGAGCGUUCUCACAAUGUAGUCCUUUCAAAAUGCAUAAUAGUUACGUAUGACAUUAAAUCCACACCUGUGCCUCGUCUUGAGCCUCGCUCCAAAUGGAACAGUCCGAGAUUCGAUUUUUCGACUGAUCCAAGGAACUACUUUUUCCCGGCAGUUACGUUACUUUCACUGCUGGCAAUGCUUCAUUUCACAACUGGAAAUGCAUCAUGUAUCUGAAAAUUAUCACAUUGUAUCAAAUUAAACUUCAGAUCAAGAAAACAUUUUUCAGUGCGUAUUCAUUUAUAUACUUUACUAAUCAUUUAUAUACUUUACCAAUUAACUUUAUUUAUGUUAUCUGAAUUAAACAAAUUUCAUAAAUGUGUGUAAAAGUUGUACAUAUAAAUGAUUUGUUACUUAAGUACUAUGUCAACAGAGAUUGACGCCAAUUUAAGAUUAGAGGAUAAGGGAGAUGGAGACAGUUGAAAAGCCCUAGUGUGUGGACGAAUAUGUAUUGGGGUCUUUUGGGCUGAUGAAUGUUUCGAUUCGAGAGAAUGGAACAAAAAGUUAUGGUAAACAAUAUUAAUAAUAAUUAGUUAUGUCAAAUAUGGUUUGAACGGAAAGGAACGUGUUAAAGAAUAGUGUUACGCGAUAUUGGAGUAAUGGCGUUUGUGAGAGAGGACGUGAUUAGAUGAGCGAGAGAUACGUAAAGGUACUAUAGAAGACGUUAGAAAUUAACCUGUAUCCCGAGUGCAGCUCCCAAACGGGUAAGAAGUUCUUCAAACGACAUUUUUAUGAACAGUAUUGUGAAAUGAAAAACGUGCGCCAUACGAUUAUUAGGCACAUGUAUUUUCUAUAAGUUGAACUAUAGUGACAUAGCACAUAGAAUUUUGUGUGAUUUUUAAUCAAUAAACGAUCGCCCAAAACUCAA